ACAGUCACACAUUAGAUACCCCCGUAGUCCUAGCCGUAAACGAUACUCGCUAGGUGUCGGCCACGGUGCGACCGUUGUCGGUGCCGUAGGGAAGCCGUGAAGCGAGCCACCUGGGAAGUACGGCCGCAAGGCUGAAACUUAAAGGAAUUGGCGGGGGAGCACAACAACGGGUGGAGCUUGCGGUUUAAUUGGAUUCAACGCCGGAAAUCUUACCGGGACCGACAGCAACAUGAAGGCCAAGCUGAAGACUUUGCCGGAUUAGCUG
rnacentral:rRNA from 1 species